rnacentral:tRNA from 1 species
GGAGUGGUAGUUCAGUUGGUUAGAAUACCGGCCUGUCACGCCGGGGGUCGCGGGUUCGAGUCCCGUCCACUNUA